UUGCUCUAAAUGCUUUGGGUUUUGAGUUAUAAGCCAAAACUGCAUUUUACCCCAUGUUCUAUUUUUAGCCAUGGCGGCCAUCUUGGUUGGAUGGCCGGGUCACCGGACACAUUUUUCAAACUACUAACCCAAAAGAUGAUUGUGGCCAAGUUUGGAUUAAUUUGGCCAAGUAGUUUCAGAGGAGAAGAUUUUUGUAAAAGAAUACUAAGAUUUGCGAAAAAUGGUUAAAAAUGGACUAUAAAGGGCAAUAACUCCUAAAGGGGUCAACUGACC
rnacentral:lncRNA from 1 species